rnacentral:rRNA from 1 species
GGGGAAAAAUUAAUAAUAAAAAUUAAAAAAAAAAAUUAAAAAUAUAAUAAUGGGGGUUAAAGUAUUUUUAAGAAAUAAUUUAUUAUUUUAUAGGGGAAUAGUAUUGUGUAAGAAAUUAUGAAAAUUUGAAAAAAAAAAUAUUUAUAAAGUAAAUUUAAUUUAUUGUAUCUUGUGUAUCAGAGUUUAUUAAAUAUUAUAUUUAUGAAAAUAUAUCUCGAAUUUAAAAGAGAUAAUUAAUUAAUAAAGUUAAUGUUGUAUAAUUAUUUUAAAUAAUUAAUUUGAAAUGAUAUGUUAAUCGUUUUUAAAUAUAUCUAGUUUUUUUAGAAAAAAAUUUAAUUUUAAAUUUAUUUUUUUUUUACUAAAUUUUUAGUAAAAAAAAAAAUAAAUUAAAUAUUUUAGGGGAUAAGCUUUAAAUUAAAUUUUUUAUAAAUAAAUUAAAUUUAAAAUAAAAUUUUUAAAAUUUAUAUUUUUUAUAAAUUAUAAUUUUUUAUAAAUAAUUUUAUUAAACAUUAAAAUUUAUAUAAAGAUUAUUUUAAAUUUUUAUAAAAAAAUAUUUUUUAAUAAAAAUAAAUUAGAAAUAAUGAUAAAAUUAGUAUAUUUAUUAAAAAUAAAAUAAAAUAAUUUUUAAUUAAAUAAAAGGAAUUCGGCAAAUAUAUAUAUUCACUUGUUUAUCAAAAACAUGUCUUUUUGAAAAUAAUAAAAAGUCUAAUCUGCCCACUGAAUUUAUUUAAAGGGCUGCAGUAUAUUGACUGUACAAAGGUAGCAUAAUCAAUAGUCUUUUAAUUGAAGACUUGUAUGAAUGAUUUGAUGAAAUAUAAACUGUCUCUUUAUUAAAAAUAAAAUUUAAUUUUUUAGUUAAAAAGCUAAAAUAAUUAUAAAAGACGAGAAGACCCUAUAGAGUUUUAUAAUUAUUGUAAUUUGAUAAUUUUUUAUAUAAAUUAAAUUUUAAUUUAAAUAAUUAUUUUAUUGGGGUGAUAGAAAAAUUAAAUGAACUUUUUUUAAUUUAAAACAUUAAUUUAUGAUAUUAUGAUCCAUAAUUUAUGAUUAAAAGAAUUAAUUACCUUAGGGAUAACAGCGUAAUUUUUUUUUUUAGUACAAAUAAAAAAAAGAGUUUGCGACCUCGAUGUUGGAUUAAGAUAAAAUUUAAAUGCAAAAGUUUAAAAUUUUUGAUCUGUUCGAUCAUUAAAAUCUUACAUGAUCUGAGUUCAAACCGGUGUGAGCCAGGUUGGUUUCUAUCUUUAUACAUUUAAAAUAGUUUAGUACGAAAGGAUCAAUUAUUUUAAAUAAUUUAAUAUAUUAGAAUAUUAAUAAUAAUUAAUUUAU